UCCCUGGUGGCUAAGAUGGUAAAGUGUCUGUCCACAAUGCAGGAGGCCCAGGUUGGAUCCCUGGGUUGGGAA
rnacentral:tRNA from 1 species